rnacentral:rRNA from 1 species
GWUUUWGAWWAMCCUGGUAGUCCACGCCCUAAACGAUGCGAACUGGAUGUUGGGUGCAAUUUGGCACGCAGUAUCGRAGCUAACGCGUUAAGUUCGCCGCCUGGGGAGUACGGUCGCAAGACUGAAACUCAAAGGAAUUGACGGGGGCCCGCACMAGCGGUGGAGUAUGUGGUUUAAUUYGAUGCAACGCGAAGAACCUUACCUGGCCUUGACAUGUCGAGAACUUUCCAGAGAUGGAUUGGUGCCUUYGGGAACUCGAACACAGGUGCUGCAUGGCUGUYGUCAGCUCGUGUCGUGAGAUGUUGGGUUAAGUCCCGCAACGAGCGCAACCCUUGUCCUUAGUUGCCAGCACGUAAUGGUGGGAACUYUAAGGAGRCCGCCGGUGRCAAACCGGAGGAAGGKGGGGAWGRCGUCAAGUCAUCAUGGCCCUUWCGGCCAGGGCUWCMCMCGUWCUWCAAUGGUAGGGACAGAGGGSUGCAAGCCGGCGRCGGUAARCCAAUCCCAGAAACCCUAUYUCAGUCCGGAUUGGAGUYUGCAACUYGACUCCAUGAAGUCGGAAUCGCUAGUAAUCGCAGAUCAGCAUUGCUGCGGUGAAUACGUUCCCGGGCCUUGUACACACCGCCCGUCACACCAUGGGAGUUUGUUGCACCAGAAGCAGGUAGCUUAACCUUCGGGAGGGCGCUUGCCACGGUGUGGCYSAUGACUGGGGUGAAGUCGKAACAACGWGKSCG